GAUGAACGCUGGCGGCGUGCCUAAUACAUGCAAGUCGUACGGAAAGGCCCUUCGGGGUACUCGAGUGGCGGACGGCUGAGUAACGCGUGGGAACGUGCCCCUAAGUUAGGGAUAACGCACCGAAAGGUGUGCUAAUACCGCAUAUGGUCUUCGGAUUAAAGCUUCGGCGCUUUGGGAGCGGCCCGCGUACGAUUAGAUAGUUGGUGAGGUAAUGGCUCACCAAGUCGACGAUCGUUAGCUGGUCUGAGAGGAUGAUCAGCCAGACUGGGACUGAGACACGGCCCAGACUCCUACGGGAGGCAGCAGUAAGGAAUCUUCCACAAUGGGGGCAACCCUGAUGGAGCAACGCCGCGUGCAGGAUGAAGGUUUUCGGAUCGUAAACUGCUUUUAUAAGUGAAGAAUAUGACGGUAACUUAUGAAUAAGGAUCGGCUAACUACGUGCCAGCCGCCGCAGUAA
rnacentral:rRNA from 1 species